GGCCUUGUGGCGGAAUGGUAGACGCGCUUGACUCAAAAUCAAGUUCUGAAAGGAGUGUGGGUUCAAGUCCCACCGAGGCCACCA
rnacentral:tRNA from 1 species